CGACGGGAGCUUGCUCCCUUAGGUCAGCGGCGGACGGGUGAGUAACACGUGGGUAACCUGCCUGUAAGACUGGGAUAACUCCGGGAAACCGGGGCUAAUACCGGAUGCUUGAUUGAACCGCAUGGUUCAAUUAUAAAAGGUGGCUUUCAGCUACCACUUGCAGAUGGACCCGCGGCGCAUUAGCUAGUUGGUGAGGUAACGGCUCACCAAGGCGACGAUGCGUAGCCGACCUGAGAGGGUGAUCGGCCACACUGGGACUGAGACACGGCCCAGACUCCUACGGGAGGCAGCAGUAGGGAAUCUUCCGCAAUGGACGAAAGUCUGACGGAGCAACGCCGCGUGAGUGAUGAAGGUUUUCGGAUCGUAAAACUCUGUUGUUAGGGAAGAACAAGUACCGUUCGAAUAGGGCGGUACCUUGACGGUACCUAACCAGAAAGCCACGGCUAACUACGUGCCAGCAGCCGCGGUAAUACGUAGGUGGCAAGCGUUGUCCGGAAUUAUUGGGCGUAAAGCGCGCGCAGGCGGUUUCUUAAGUCUGAUGUGAAAGCCCCCGGCUCAACCGGGGAGGGUCAUUGGAAACUGGGGAACUUGAGUGCAGAAGAGGAGAGUGGAAUUCCACGUGUAGCGGUGAAAUGCGUAGAGAUGUGGAGGAACACCAGUGGCGAAGGCGACUCUCUGGUCUGUAACUGACGCUGAGGCGCGAAAGCGUGGGGAGCGAACAGGAUUAGAUACCCUGGUAGUCCACGCCGUAAACGAUGAGUGCUAAGUGUUAGAGGGUUUCCGCCCUUUAGUGCUGCAGCAAACGCAUUAAGCACUCCGCCUGGGGGAGUACGGGUCGCAAGACUGAAACUCAAAAGGAAUUGACGGGGGGCCCGCACAAGCG
rnacentral:rRNA from 1 species